rnacentral:rRNA from 1 species
AUACGUAGGGUGCGAGCGUUGUCCGGAAUUACUGGGCGUAAAGAGCUCGUAGGUGGUUUGUCGCGUCGUCUGUGAAAUUCCGGGGCUUAACUCCGGGCGUGCAGGCGAUACGGGCAUAACUUGAGUACUGUAGGGGAGACCGGAAUUCCUGGUGUAGCGGUGAAAUGCGCAGAUAUCAGGAGGAACACCGGUGGCGAAGGCGGGUCUCUGGGCAGUAACUGACGCUGAGGAGCGAAAGCAUGGGUAGCGAACAGGAUUAGAUACCCUGGUAGUCCAUGCCGUAAACGGUGGGCGCUAGGUGUAGGGGUCUUCCACGACUUCUGUGCCGUAGCUAACGCAUUAAGCGCCCCGCCUGGGGAGUACGGCCGCAAGGCUAAAACUCAAAUGAAUUGGCGGGG